UAUAUUUAUCAGUAGCAUCUCUAUGUUUAUAGAUACAUACUAGGUAUGUGCUUCUUUAGUGUGGCCUUCUCUUUUUUAUGCAAGAAGUGUGCCUUCUCUAAUCUGACAAUCAUCUUAUUUGUUGUUCUAAAUAAUUACUGCAGGAUGGAGCAGCAGGCUUAGAUGAAAUCUACUGCCAAUUUCUAUUGGUUGCGGCAUCUUCCGCUGAGUAACUCUACAAAACAGCCUGCUAGCAUUGAUUCUUGCAAUAAAAAAAAUAAGUCUGGCAUCAUUCAUAAAAAGCUUAUAGACUUAGAUAAUUUCUUAGUCCUGCACUGGUUCUCACCAGUGAGAUUGUAGAUGUGGUAUUUUGAGAAUACCAGUGUAAUUCACUGGUCCAAAAGCUCCAUUUCUUAAUGUGUUUUUGCAGAAUGCUACCAGUAAUGUUUUUCUUUUCCUUAAUGUACAAACGUAUCUAUUAGAUAUGAUUUUGGAUCUGAACUUUUCCCUGUCUGCAGCUCACAUUGUGGUAUGGUCAUGGUACAGCAAAAGGAAAAGAUGUUUAAACUUUUUUUGGGCGUCAUACAUGAAAAGUAUGAAGAGUGGUCAUAAUGUUACUUAAAGGAGGCCUCAACUUGCACCAAAUACAUUGGCAUGUGCAACAGCAACUUAUGUAGUUUGUACAAUCUCUAAAGAUGGUGCUCCAUUGUUCUGUUAAUCAAGAUUUGUUCCCUCCUUUCUUACUAGCUGAUACAUGAUGACCGUUUGCAUGGGGGGUUAUGUUAACUAUAUUCUAUUCAUGAUUCAAAUUGUUUGUUAGGUAAUUUAGUUUAGACAUUGUGUCCUGAGAAUCUUGAUAUCUAGCUGUAUCGGUAUAGUAUAGUUUGUGAUUUUUCCCUCUGAAUUUAUAUAUCCACUCAG